UAUUAGUACAUUAAAAUCUAUAUUUUUUUGGUUUGUAAGUGACAUACUCACUUUUUUAAAAAAUAAGAUGCCCUCAUUAUUAUUAUUAUUCUUGUCUGUGAUUGACAUACUCACUUUUUUUAAAUUAGGAUGCCCUCAUUUUUAUUAUUAUUCUUAUUAUUGGACAUUAGGCUAUUUUAAUUAUUUUUCUUAAAAUGUUAACAUAAACUUUGAACUAUUGAUUUUAUGCAUUUCAAUAUUAAAGAUUUAAAAUCAAAAUAGCAUUUAAUGAUAUCAAAUUUAUACAACUCUAUCACAAGAUUACAUGAGAUGAAUGGUUUAAAAUUUACGUUAAAACUUUUAAUAAAAUAAUUGUUAUGCAUAUAAUGGCAAAAUCGGACAAAAUAGUGUUUAUGGUACCGCAGUCAUGACGUGAUAGAGAGAAAAAUAAGGGCAAAAUCGGAUUCAAAUGGUCAAUUUUUGGAUUUUUCUUAUUUGAAAUCCCAUAAACGGCUGAUUGCCAAGCUUAACAUCGUCUUAAUUGUUGUGCUUUUGACUAUUUUUAGGAGUAGGUUCCUGGGUUCUUGUGCUUAAUAUGCGUUGAUGGGACUUUUUAUUUUGUUAUUUAUACGCAAUGAGUCUUUACUGGCAGAUGAAUGUUAGGUUAUAUCUUUGUAUUAGAACUAGUAGCAGAUCACUGUGAGCCAAGUCAAAAUCUGAUGAUACAGAAACCAGAAAGAGAAAUUGCAUGUAGCUUUAUGAUGUGUGUUGGCCACGAAGCACCUUUUGAGCACUAAAGAAGGAUCACUAUCAUAAAAGAAGUCGUUCUCAUCAAAGAUUAUGUUUAUUGCUAUAUAUACAUACUCAUCAUGAACAGUCCAAGCAUCUAUAGCCCUUCUGUACUAGAUUGAGUUAAAUGAAUGAUAUGUAAUGAUAUAAACUUUAACAAUGGUGAUAGUUGUUUUAUAGAUCAAGUUGUAUAUAAACCGUAUUUAUUAUUUUUCCAGUGUUUAAGGAGAUAGUCAAAACUAAAUAUUGCCACUGAAUUUGUAGACAUGCAUUGGGGAUGACAAUUGAAUAGUAUUGAUAUGAGUACUAAGUCGAAAGUCACUCUUUAAAAAAAAAAUAUGUUCAUUGCUGCAAAAUCUAGCAAUUUGAAAAUUUUGACUAAUCUUGUUAAAAUAUGUUGCCAAAACUAUAUAAAUGCAAAUAUAUAAUUUUCAUCUUACACAACUAUAAUCAGAGUCGUACUAUUGUGUCAUUCAGCCUUUAGCCAAGUGGUUGGGUUGCUGCCCUCACAACUCAAACCCUCACAAAAGUAUUAUGGGGCUCAAGUCCUUCCUCAAUUAUAACUUAUAAUUGAGUGAAGGUCAGUCUUCUCCCUUUAUUAAUGUGAGUAGAGUAAACAUUUCUCAACUAUUAGAGAAGGUAAAAUCUAAGCAAUGUUUCAUAUAAAUAUAUGUAAAUUAAUCCUAGUAAUAAUCUCAUGUAAAUAUAAGUGAUAAUCUGAUGUCAUAGUCAGUUUAAAAAAAAAAAACGAGUCGUACUACAGUAGUUGAAAGAUACAUCAUAAAAACACUUGUCAACAAAAAGCAUUUAUUUUUCAAUUUCUUCAAUUUGCUAACCUGCAACCAUAACUGAAUCUAAAGAGAGUGAUGAUACUAUACUAACACCACUCAAAAGUAUUAAUUACCCUCAAGUAUAAGAGUUUCUACUUAUAAUGUAAUUCGUAAUUCAGUGAGUCCGAGAUUUAUAUAAAGGGAAAAGAUUUAAUUUGUUAAUUAACUUUAAACUAUCCAAGAGCUAAAAAUAUAAUUUAAAUACACAAUAUUCAAUUUAAGUGAAAUUAUGGAAAUAAAUUAGUUAGGACUAUGGAUAUAAUUUAAUAAAUUCUUUUCUUUUUAUUUUGUUUAUUGCCCAAAAUAUCAAUUGUACAAAUUAUCAUUAUUAUCCCAUUAAUUUUAUUAUAAAUUAAGUACUUAAUGUGUCAAAAUUAAAUUUGUCGAUAAAAAGUCAAAAUACUAUUUUGUCAUAUUUUAUACUAAGAUAUUCAAAAUCUAUUGUACC
rnacentral:lncRNA from 1 species